rnacentral:rRNA from 1 species
UCGCGAAUCAGCAUGUCGCGGUGAAUACGUUCCCGGGCCUUGUACACACCGCCCGUCACACCAUGAGAGUUGGCAAUACCCAACGUACGUGAUCUAACCCGCAAGGGAGGAAGCGUCCUAAGGUAGGGUCAGCGAUUGGGGUGAAGUCGUAACAAGGUAUC